ACGAAAUUCUACUCCAGGAAAAUGAAUAUACAGAAGCGUAUAUAUAAAACUGCACGUUUUUAAGCAACUUUAACACAUGGACUUGAAGAAUAUGAGAGAGAGUGCCUGCUUUGUCUGGGGAAGGAGCUGUCUGGACAGAAGAAAUAGGAAGCUUAUGGAAAGACUAGAAAGAAGAAUAGCUGAGGACCAGUGAAGCAUUAGAACAGUGAACAGAGCAGAGACCCAUGAAUGAAGAAGAGAGAAGCAGAGGGAAAGAGAGAAACUGAUUGAAAAGAUGCAGUCAAAACGGGCGUUAGGAAAAAGAAGGAGCUAAAAGAGGCCAAAAGGCUAAGGAAGAAGAGAAAGCAUGCAGGAAUGAGACACUUUACUAAAGAAACCCAGUUCCUGAGUUUUUUUCCGAUUCAGAAAGGAAUGGGAUGGAAAGCAAAGGUGGAUGUAUCAUCAAUCUAAUUUUGCGGAAAGGAACUGACUUCUUCCAAGAGGGAGGAGGAGGGGCACAGAGCAAUGCAUUCUGAAGCAGAAGCUGCCAGUGCUGGUCCCAGAAGUAACAACCCAGAUCCUGAAGGCAUCUUUCCUGGAAGUUUUCCUAAAAGAUGAUCCAAACACCUAACUAACUAUACUGAUUUACAACAGCACCAACAACAUCAACAACAAACCUAAGGCCCAGAGGUCAGAACUAUUACAAAUAUAAUGUCGUAUCCAUAAAUUCCUAAAUCUUAAUGCCUCAUGCUGCACUUAUAUAAUCGGGGGUGGGGGGAAAGGUGGAAAAUGAUGAAGAGGAAAAACAGUACACAGAUAUUCAACUCUGAGUUUUCUGGGUUAAGGAUGAGAAAUAAACAUUAAUUGAAAACUAUGUGUGCCAUGAUAAGGGUUUAUAAUUUUGACAUAUGGAGGAGGCAAAAGUAGGUAGAGUGAGUUGGAAAACUGAGACCAAAAUGGACAUUAUACUGAAGUACUAUAUUUCGCUGUCUGACAUUUGCAGGUGCUUAGUAAAUAUUUAUUUUUUCUGGUCAACUGCUUUCCUCAUAUUCUUCCUUUAUAAUAUUCUCUAGGGAAAGUAGGGCGAACUCAGACUGAGCAUAGAUAAGCCCACAUUUAUAGCCUACUUCUUAAUGUUUCUAAAUCUCAUAUCCGUGGGUUUAAUCAUAAUAUAUAUUUUAUGAAGUUGUUGAAUAAAGCUAAUGCAUGAAAAGAAAUUGGCACAUAAAAAGCAAUGAGGAAAGGCUGCUGUUUCUUAGUAGGAGGAGGAGGAGGAACAAGAGGAAUGAUAGUAGUAGAUGGGCUCAGAUGAAAAUUUCUUAGAGCAGCAGAGUGUUAACAACACUUGCAGAUUUGGGCAAAAACAGUCACAGUGAAAUGAUGGAAAGGAUUCAAGAAUAAGAAGUGAAUUUGUGCUAGAUAUCACCUUAUUACCUUCACUGUCCUAAAACUCUAUAAUCCUACAUAUGUGAAUGAUAUGUUGAAGUCAAUCAAUCAGGAAAUUAUUUUCAUUUUCAAAAUUAAUCAGGGCCAAUUGUGUCACUGAUCUAGAAUCUCACAGUUAAUUUUAAAAAGUAAUACUUCAAAAAGUUAACUAAGCCAGGGGUGGGUGGUGGCUUACGCCUGUAAUCUCGACACUUUGGGAGGUGAGGCGGGCAGAUUGCUGGAGCUCAGGAGUUUGAGACCACCCUGGGCAACAUGGCAAAAUUCCUUCUCUAUAAAAAAUAUGGAAAUUAGCCAGGCAUUGCAAUGAUGUACACCAGUAGUCCCAGCUACUUGGGAGGUAUUGGUGGGAGGAUGGCUUGAGCUCAGUAGGCAGAAGUUGCAGUAAGCCAAGAUCAAGCCACUGCACUCCAGCCUGGAUGACAGAGCCAGAACCUGUCUCAAAAAAAAAAAAAAAAAAAAAAAAAAAACAACAACUAAAAAUGGAUCAUAGACAUAAAUGUAAAAUACACUAUAAAACUCCUAGAGGUUAGCAUAGGAAAAAGCCUAGAUGACCUUAGAUAUGGUGGUGACUUCUUAGAUACAACACAAAAGGCACAACCUAUGAAAGAAAUAAUUGAUAAGCUUGACUUCAUUAAAAUUAAAACCUCCUCCUCUGCAAAAGACAAUGUCAAGGGAAGGCAAAGACAAGCCACAGACUGGGAAAAAAUAUCUGCAAAAGACACAUCUGAUAAAGGACUGCUAUUCGAAGUAUACAAAGAAUUCUUACCAACUCAACAAUAAUAAUAAAAAAAAAAAACUCAAUUAAAAACUGGGCCAAAGGUCUUAACAGACACUUCACCAAGGAGAUAUACAGAUGGCAAAAAAAAGCAUAUAAAAAGAUGUUCUACAUCACAUGUCAUCAGGAAAAUGCAAAUUAAAACAACAAAAAGACACCAUUACACAUCCAUUAGAAUGCCUCAAACCUACAGUACUGACAAUACAAAAUGCAGGCAAAGAUAUGGAGCAAGAGGAACUCUUAUUCAUUGUGAUGGCAAUGCAAAAUGGCGCAGCCACUUUGGAAUAGAGUUUGGCAGUUUCUUAAAAAAUUAAACAUACUUACCCAAUAAACCAGCAAUUAUACCUCUUGGUAUUUACCCAAUAACCUUGGUAUAUACAUUAUUGUAAAUGCAUGUCCACAAGAAAAUUUGCACAUGAAUAUUUAUAACAACUUCAUUUAUAAUUAAUUGCCAAAAACUUGGAAGCAACCAAGAUGUCCUUAAUGGAUAAACAAACUGUGGUACACUCAGGCAAUGGUAUAUUAUUAUAAUUCAGUGCUAUAAAGAAAUGAGUUAUCAAUCCAUGAAUAAACAUGGAGGAACCUUAAAUGCAUAUUACUAUGUGAAAGAAGCCUACACUCACUCAGGAUAAUUCAGACUAUAUGACAUUCUGGAGAAGGCAAAGCUAUGAAGAGAGUAAAAAGAUCAGUGUUUGCCAGGGCUUAGGAUGGAGGAGGUGAUAAGUAGGCAAAGCACAAAGGAUUUUUAGGGCAGGGAAAAUACUUUGCAUGGUACCAUAAUGAUGGAUACUUGUCAUUAUACAUUUAUUCAAAUUCAUAGAAUGUACAACACCCAAAAUUCUCCCUAAUGUAAACCAUGAACUUUGGGUAAUUAUGAUGUAUCAUUGUAGGUUCACCAAUUGUAACCAGUGUUCCACUUUGGUGAUGGAUAUUAAUAAUGGGGGAGGCUAUGCAUAUAUGAGGGCAGGGGAAUCUCUGUAUCGUCCCCUCAAUUUUGUUCUCAACCUAAAACUGCUCUAAAAAUGCAGUCUUUUAAAAAAGUAUUCAUAAUUUCAUACACUUUCAGAGGCGCUUUGAAGGAGAAAGGUAGAGUGACAGAUUGUUAUACUCAUGACCUCUAAGAAAUCCCAUCUUCAUGUACCCAGAACCUUUGUAAUGUGACAUAGUAUCUGGGUUGUAUUUUAUCAUCCCCUUCACUGGCUUUGUGACUUGCUUUACCCCUUAUAAUGUGGCAGAAGUCUUGUGUGAAUCUCAACAGAUUUUGCAGGUUUGUCCCUUAUUGUUUUAAAACCCUGAAACCACCAUAAGGUGAAAUUUAAGCCAAGCCUAAUAGAGAAUGGAAGGUUAACUAUAGGAAAACCAAGGAGCUCCUGCUCAUAGCCAAAUGAAAUAGCAAAAACUUUGAUUGAUACCAUGUCAGAACCUCCAGCUUGAGUGUAGUCAUCAAAAGACUGCAGCCACAUGAGUGAUCUCAGGAAGAACCAGCAGAAGAACUUCCCACACUGCUAAGGUACAGAAUCAUGAGAAAUAAAAAAUCAGUAUUGUUUUAAGCCACUCAGUUUUGAGGUGAUCUCUUAUGCAGCAAAAGGUAACUGAAACAGAAAUUAAUACCUGGAAGUGGGUUGUUGCCUUUAAAAAACCUAAACCAUUUGGCAUUAUCUUUUAGCUCAGGUGGCAAGUGGAGAGUGGAAGAGAAGCAGGGAGACUUCUACUGGAGGCAAGAAAAGCAGUGAGGAAAUUAUUAUCUUAGGCUGCAGGAAAGGCAACCUGUGUCCUACACCAGCAGAAUAAUUCACAUAGUUUUAUCCUACAUUAAAGCAGAAGAUAGAAAAUACACCUAAUGAACUUGUAAAUCUUACCAAGG
rnacentral:lncRNA from 10 species